UACGUAGGGCGCAAGCGUUAUCCGGAAUUAUUGGGCGUAAAGAGCUCGUAGGUGGUUUGUCGCGUUGUCCGUGAAAACUCACAACUCAAUUGUGGGCGUGCGGGCGAUACGGGCAGACUGGAGUACUGCAGGGGAGACUGGAAUUCCUGGUGUAGCGGUGGAAUGCGCAGAUAUCAGGAGGAACACCGGUGGCGAAGGCGGGUCUCUGGGCAGUAACUGACGCUGAGGAGCGAAAGCGUGGGGAGCGAACAGG
rnacentral:rRNA from 1 species